UACGUAGGGUGCAAGCGUUGUCCGGAAUUAUUGGGCGUAAAGAGCUCGUAGGCGGUUUGUCGCGUCUGCUGUGAAAACCCGAGGCUCAACCUCGGGCCUGCAGUGGGUACGGGCAGACUAGAGUGCGGUAGGGGAGAAUGGAAUUCCUGGUGUAGCGGUGGAAUGCGCAGAUAUCAGGAGGAACACCGAUGGCGAAGGCAGUUCUCUGGGGCCGUUACUGACGCUGAGGAGCGAAAGCGUGGGGAGCGAACAGG
rnacentral:rRNA from 1 species